rnacentral:rRNA from 1 species
CUACGGGAGGCAGCAGUCGAGAAUCUUUGGCAAUGGGCGAAAGCCUGACCAAGCGAUGCCGCGUGCGGGAUGAAGGCCUUCGGGUUGUAAACCGCUGUCAGAGGGGAUGAAACCUUCGGGUUGACAGAGCCUCAGAGGAAGCACGGGCUAAGUACGUGCCAGCAGCCGCGGUAACACGUACUGUGCGAACGUUAUUCGGAAUCACUGGGCUUAAAGGGUGCGUAGGCGGCCUAUCAAGUCAGGUGUGAAAUCCCACGGCUCAACCGUGGAACUGCGCUUGAAACUGAUAGGCUUGAGUGGAACAGGGGUGUGUGGAACUUCUAGUGGAGCGGUGAAAUGUGUUGAUAUUAGAAGGAACACCGGUGGCGAAAGCGACACACUGGGUUCUCACUGACGCUGAGGCACGAAAGCCAGGGUAGCGAACGGGAUUAGAAACCCGAGUAGUCC